rnacentral:tRNA from 1 species
GGAGAGGUGGUCGAGUGGUUUAUGGCUCCAGUCUUGAAAACUGGCGUGGGGUAAUUCUCACCGUGGGUUCGAAUCCCACCCUCUCCGCCA